UCAACUUUAAUACGGUCCUAGGGCCACCACUUAAGAUACAUGGCUGUAGAUUUUUUGUGAACUGCUGAAAGUCUUAAAGAAUGUUUAUCUCUUUCUUUCAAGCUUCUUCUCUGGAAACGCGUUUUUAACGUUCAAACAAAAAACGCGUUUAUGCCCCCCGCUUUCAUAUAACCUUCCAAGACUCACUCAAGGUCUCGUAACUACAGCUACAAUAGCCCUGUUCGUUUGGUUGCCGCCGGUUUCAGCGUCGGCGUCGGCGUCGGCGUCGGCGUCAGCGGCUGCGUCAAACUCGUUUAUCUGAUGUUCGUUUCAUAGACGCUGACGCUGACGCCGACGCUGACGCCAACACUGAUUGUUGUUCGUUUCGAAGACGCAGGAAAUUGACGCAGCCGCAUGACGCAGACGCAUGAUGCUGUUUUGGGUUGUUCGUUUGAUUGACGCUGCGACUAUUUUCAUUUAUUCAUAUUUUAUUUUUAAAAAAUUGUAAAAUUGUAUUUUAAAUAAAUAAAAUGUAGUUUAAAUAUAUUUACAUCCAUAAGAAUAUUAUUUUCAAUUGGUAAUAAA